rnacentral:rRNA from 1 species
GAUGAACGCUGGCGGCGUGCCUAAUACAUGCAAGUCGAGCGAACAGACUAUGAGCUUGCUCCUCUGACGUUAGCGGCUGACGUGUGAGUAACACGUGGAUAACCUACCUAUAAGACUGGUAUAACUUCGGGAAACCGGUGCUAAUACCGGAUAAUAUUUUGAACCGCAUGGUUCUAUAGUUAAAGACGGUUUUGCUGUCACUUAUAGAUGGAUCCGCGCCGCAUUAGCUAGUUGGUAAGGUAACGGCUUACCAAGGCAACGAUGCGUAGCCGACCUGAGAGGGUGAUCGGCCACACUGGAACUGAGACACGGUCCAGACUCCUACGGGAGGCAGCAGUAGGGAAUCUUCCGCAAUGGGCGAAAGCCUGACGGAGCAACGCCGCGUGAGUGAUGAAGGUCUUCGGAUCGUAAAACUCUGUUAUUAGGGAAGAACAAAUGUGUAAGUAACUAUGCACGUCUUGACGGUACCUAAUCAGAAAGCCACGGCUAACUACGUG